UGCAGUAGAUGUGGGCAGCACAGCUCCUCGGG
rnacentral:piRNA from 1 species